GACUCCGUGGCGCAACGGUAGCGCGUCCGACUCCAGAUCGGAAGGGUUGCGUGUUCAAAUCACGUCAGGGGUCA
rnacentral:tRNA from 1 species